rnacentral:rRNA from 1 species
UCUGACACAGGUGCUGCAUGGCUGUCGUCAGCUCGUGCGUGAGAUGUUGGGUUAAGUCCGUAACGAGCGCAACCCUUGUCCUUAGUUACCAGCACGUUAUGUGGGCACUCUAAGGAGACUGCCGGUGACAAACCGGAGGAAGGUGGGGAUGACGUCAAGUCAUCAUGGCCCUUACGGCCUGGGCUACACACGUGCUACAAUGGUCGGUACAAAGGGUUGCCAAGCCGCGAGGUGGAGCUAAUCCCAUAAAACCGAUCGUAGUCCGGAUCGCAGUCUGCAACUCGACUGCGUGAAGUCGGAAUCGCUAGUAAUCGUGAAUCAGAAUGUCACGGUGAAUACGUUCCCGGGCCUU